rnacentral:rRNA from 1 species
UGGCGGCACUAGCGCGGUGGUCCCACCUGACCCCAUGCCGAACUCAGAAGUGAAACGCCGUAGCGCCGAUGGUAGUGUGGGGUCUCCCCAUGUGAGAGUAG